GACGGAGGAUGCAAGCGUUAUCCGGAAUGAUUGGGCGUAAAGCGUCUGCAGGUGGCAGUUCAAGUCUGCUGUCAAAGACCGGGGCUUAACUUCGGAAAGGCAGUGGAAACUGAACAGCUAGAGUAUGGUAGGGGUAGAGGGAAUUCCUGGUGUAGCGGUGAAAUGCGUAGAGAUCAGGAAGAACACCGGUGGCGAAAGCGCUCUGCUGGACCUUAACUGACACUGAGGGACGAAAGCUAGGGGAGCGAAUGGG
rnacentral:rRNA from 1 species